rnacentral:rRNA from 1 species
CACGUAGGGCGCAAGCGUUGUCCGGAAUUAUUGGGCGUAAAGAGCUCGUAGGCGGUCUGUUGCGUCCGCUGUGAAAACCCGGGGCUUAACCCCUGGCUUGCAGUGGAUACGGACAGACUAGAGGUAGGUAGGGGAGAAUGGAAUUCCCGGUGUAGCGGUGAAAUGCGCAGAUAUCGGGAGGAACACCGGUGGCGAAGGCGCCACUCUGGGCCGGUACUGACGCUGAGGAGCGAAAGCGUGGGUAGCAAACGAGG